rnacentral:rRNA from 1 species
GAUGAACGCUGGCGGCGCGCUUAACACAUGCAAGUCGAGCGAGAACCGGGGCUUCGGCUCCGGGGAAAGCGGCGAACGGGUGAGUAACACGUGGGUAACCCACCCUUGGUAUCCGGAUAGCCCGGGGAAACCCGGAUUAAUACGGAAUGGCCCAACAGCCUCUCGGGGCGGUUGGAAAGGUAGCUUCGGCCUCCGACCAAGGACGCGCCCGCGGCGGAUUAGCUUGUUGGUGCGGGUAACGGCCCACCAAGGCGACGAUCCGUAGCUGGUCUGAGAGGACGAUCAGCCACACUAGGACUGAGACACGGCCCAGACUCCUACGGGAGGCAGCAGUGGGGAAUCUUGCGCAAUGGGCGAAGGCCUGACGCAGCGACGCCGCGUGGGGAAGAAGGUCUUCGGAUUGUAAAGUCCUUUCGGCGGGGACGAUGAUGACGGUACCCGCAGAAGAAGCCCCGGCCUAACUUCGUGCCAGCCGCCGCUGUAAU